UGAAACUGCGAAUGGCUCAUUAAAUCAGUUAUCGUUUAUUUGAUAGUACCUUACUACUUGGAUAACCGUGGUAAUUCUAGAGCUAAUACAUGCUAAAAACCCCGACUUCGGAAGGGGUGUAUUUAUUAGAUAAAAAACCAAUGCCCUUCGGGGCUCCUUGGUGAUUCAUAAUAACUUAACGAAUCGCAUAGCCUUGUGCUGGCGAUGGUUCAUUCAGAUUUCUGCCCUAUCAACUUUCGAUUGUAUGGUAUUGGCUUACAAUGGUUUCAACGGGUAACGGGGAAUUAGGGUUCUAUUCCGGAGAGGGAGCCUGAGAAACGGCUACCACAUCCAAGGAAGGCAGCAGGCGCGCAAAUUACCCAAUCCCGACACGGGGAGGUAGUGACAAUAAAUACUG
rnacentral:rRNA from 1 species